GUUGGUAGUCCGCACGAGCGCACCCCUAUCCUUAUUUGCCAGCACGUAAUGGUGGGAACUCUAGGGAGACUGCCGGUGAUAAACCGGAGGAAGGUGGGGACGACGUCAAGUCAUCAUGGCCCUUACGAGUAGGGCUACACACGUGCUACAAUGGCGUAUACAGAGGGUUGCAAAGCCGCGAGGUGGAGCUAAUCUCACAAAGUACGUCGUAGUCCGGAUCGGAGUCUGCAACUCGACUCCGUGAAGUCGGAAUCGCUAGUAAUCGUGGAUCAGAAUGCCACGGUGAAUACGUUCCCGGGCCUUGUACACACCGCCCGUCACACCAUGGGAGUGGGCUGCAAAAGAAGUGGGUAGUUUAACCUUCGGGAGAACGCUCACCACUUUGUGGUUCAUGACUGGGGUGAAGUCGUAACAAGGUAGCCCUAGGGGAACCUGGGGCUGGAUCACCUCCUU
rnacentral:rRNA from 1 species